GUUUCUGGGUUUGUAAUGUAUUGUAAUACAUCAUCUGCAUAUAAAGAAAUUUUAUUAACUGUAUCUUUAGUAUUAUACCCAUAAAUUUCUGGGUGCGCUCUAACAUUUUCUGCAAGUGGUUCGAUAGCUAGGGCGAAUAAUAAUGGAAAUAAUGGGCAUCCUUGUCUACAACCUCUAGACAGAUUGAAUUUGGGUGAUAACAUUUGAUUUGUCAAUAUUCUAGCUGUUGGGUUAGUAUAUAGGAGUUUAACCCAUGUACAAAACUUCUCACCCAGCUGAAAAGUUUCCAGCACUGA